CUUUACUGUAGCUUUACAUUGGACUUUGAACAGAUCUGUGUAGGAUAGGUGGGAGGCUUUGAAGCGGUGCCGCUAGGUGUCGUGGAGCCAACCUUGAAAUACCACCCUGGUGUGUUUGAGGUUCUAACCUUGGCCCGUGAUCCGGGUUGGGGACAGUGUAUGGUGGGCAGUUUGACUGGGGCGGUCUCCUCCCAAAGUGUAACGGAGGAGUUCGAAGGUACGCUAAAUACGGUCGGAAAUCGUGUUGAUAGUGCAUUGGCAUAAGCGUGCUUGACUGCGAGACUGACAAGUCGAGCAGGUACGAAAGUAGGACAAAGUGAUCCGGUGGUUCUGUAUGGAAGGGCCAUCGCUCAACGGAUAAAAGGUA
rnacentral:rRNA from 1 species